rnacentral:rRNA from 1 species
UUGUUUAUUUUUAAAAGCGCAGGUCUCGCAUUGUAGGUUGAUGAAGCGUUGCCUAGUGUUAAACCUUCCAGUUAAAGUUCCUUGGAACAGGACAUCAAAGAGGGUGAUAAUCCCGUAACUAGCUGGACGACAUAACAGUUUAACACGCUUACGGAGCGUUUUCUUAGAGUCGGAAUGUUUGGGAUUGCAUUUCAAAGUGGGUGGUAAACUCCAUCUAAGGCUAAAUACUGGCGAGAGACCGAUAGCGAACAAGUACCGUGAGGGAAAGUUGAAAAGCACUCUGGAGAGAGAGUCAAACAGUACGUGAAAUUGCUAGCAGGGAAACGUUGGGCACCAGUACACGGCAAUCAAUGUUAAUGAUCAGUCGGUCGGUCGGUGGGUUGUAGUGUGGUGUUUAUCUUUGAAGAUUAUCCUUGCGGUAACUUACGCAUUACAAACAGCUGGCUGACCGGUGCACUCUUUAGCAGCCGGGUCAACAUCGGUUAACGACGUCCGACAAGUCAGUGGACAAGGUAGCAUUGGUAGGUUCGCCUGCCUUUGAACUUAUAGGUCUGCCGUACGAGGAUGUUGUUGACCGAGGAAAGCGACUCGUGCGUUUCGGCGCAGGGCGUAUUGGUUAGGUCAAGGUCGCCCGUGGUGCUAAGCAGCAUGCUGAUUAGUAUUCAUUUUACUGCACUUGUGCAGUAGCGGCGGUCGUCUAGCCCGCAUGCCA